AUCGCUUCUCAGCCUUUUGGCUAAGAUCAAGUGUAGUAUCAAGUGUAAAAAUAGGUCAUUGUAAUAAUAUCUGUAUCUGUCUGUUCCUGUCUCUUCAAAAUGUUAUGUUAUUCUUU
ensembl:snRNA U2 U2 spliceosomal RNA